rnacentral:rRNA from 1 species
GAGCGAACAGGAUUAGAUACCCUGGUAGUCCAUGCUGUAAACGGUGGGCGCUAGGUGUGGGCUGUGUGUUUGCAGUCUGUGCCGUAGCUAACGCAUUAAGCGCCCCGCCUGGGGAGUACGGCCGCAAGGCUAAAACUCAAAGGAAUUGACGGGGGCCCGCACAAGCGGCGGAGCAUGUGGAUUAAUUCGAUGCAACGCGAAGAACCUUACCUGGGUUUGACAUGCACCAGAUCGGCGUAGAGAUACGUCUUCCCUUGUGGUUGGUGCACAGGUGGUGCAUGGUUGUCGUCAGCUCGUGUCGUGAGAUGUUGGGUUAAGUCCCGCAACGAGCGCAACCCUUGUCUUAUGUUGCCAGCACAUUUUGGUGGGGACUCAUGAGAAACUGCCGGGGUCAACUCGGAGGAAGGUGGGGAUGACGUCAAAUCAUCAUGCCCUUUAUACCCAGGGCUUCACACAUGCUACAAUGGUCGGUACAACGGGUUGCGACACUGUGAAGUGAAGCUAAUCUCUUAAAGCCGGCCUCAGUUCGGAUUGGGGUCUGCAACUCGACCCCAUGAAGUCGGAGUCGCUAGUAAUCGCAGAUCAGCAACGCUGCGGUGAAUACGUUCCCGGGCCUUGUACACACCGCCCGUCACGUCAUGAAAGUUGGUAACACCCGAAGCCCAUGGCCUAACCACCACCUGUGGUGGG